UUCUUUAAACUGAAACUGUUAUUAGUUAAAGUAGUAUAAAUAUUGUUGCGGGCGAGACAGAUUCCAAAACUCAGAGGCACUAUGUUUGGAUGGUCGGUGUUGUGUUCCGUUUGGGUGUGCUGUUUGUUUGGUGUUGUAAUUGCCUUGUUUGCUGUGUUUGGCUUGUUAAUUUUUUUGUUUUAGGUGUAGUGCUCCACUUGCAUGUUUUUGUUAUGUUCCGGUUUGUUUUGUUCCGUGUUUGCUUGGUGUGGUGAUUGUCUUCUUUGUGUUUGAUUGUAUUGUUGAGUUUUGUGGUCGUAGCGUGGAUUAUAUAUAUUAAACUUUCAUAUUGAAAGGAUAUUCGUGGUGAUGUUUUAAUUAUUUUUGUUUCGUAUUCACUGUUUUUCAUAUUGGUUGGUUUUUGUUUGUAUUUUAGUUUUUGGACAAAUUGUUGUGUGUAUGUCAGCUGAAGUAAAAGUAUAAGUGUGUAGACUGGAAUAUUAGUUUCAGUUGUUGUUUUCAGAGUUGUAUUUUAUGUAGAAUGUAGGAGUUGCCACAUGCUAUGGCCAUAUUGAAUUUUCUAUCUUAAGAGAAAAUUAGGAAUAUUGUCAAGGCCAAACGAGAAAAGUACAUUGACCCUUUUUCUUGUACAUUUGUAUUUGUGUGUAAUCUGUUAGUUGUUCUGUUGAACACCGGUACCUGUUUUUUAUAUGUGCUUUUUAUUAGUAUUUGUUUAUUGCUUAAGGUUUUAUUUAAGUUUAACUUCAAAAAUGAAAACGAGAGCAAAUUUAUUCUUAAAGUGACAGAGUUGAAAGAAAGUUCAUAAAAGAAAAUUAAUAUUGGUUAGAAAUUUUGUUCGUGAAACACAAAAUAAUAUUAUUAAGUUUUGUGUAAAAGUUAAACAAUAUUACACUUUUUAACAGAUCGGAAACAAUAAAAAGGAAAUAAAUCUAUUUGGAAAGAAAGAGAAAAUUUUUAUGGUGCAAUUCUGGAGACUAACCCAUAUCCAUACUGAGGGAAAAACAGAUAGAUGUUCUAACUUAUUGGCAUCAUCAGAAGAAAUUUAUGAAAUUUUGCUAGUAACACCAUCUGGAUAGAACUUCAUAGAGUAUGAAAACGGAAGAGCUUUCCCUCAAUUUAAAAGCUUGAUUAAAAUUUGUAUCGGAACUAGGGUAGCCGUAGCUAAGAUUUGAACCACAGUAUAUUUCUGCAGCUUUUAUUUAACAGUUCUUAUAAGGAAAACUAAUUUAUGAAAUAAACUGUUCUCAGUGUCUAUAGGGAUUAGGGUAGAAUAAGAAAUUAGUUUAAGUUUAUGAUUUAAUGCAAAUUAGUAUAUGGAUUGUUAAAUUUUAUUAUACUAGGUUAAUUUUAUGUUUGUAAAAGGGGAUCAGGCUGGAGUUUAAUCUAGAACCAGAAAAGAAAUAUUUUUUUUGUGAGCAGACAUAUUAAGGUUUGCAAAAAUAUCCUUCAAAGAGCUCUUUUAGGGAUCAUAAGAAAUAGCUUUACAAUAUUAAAGGCGAGUAUUUAAAAAGCCAAUAUUUUUAUAUCCGGUUCGGUCCUUUUAGAUAAAUAAUAAUUUGUUAACGAAAAUAUUGUAAAUUUUGAUUUAAGUUUAAAAUUAAGAUAGAUCUUGUUUUAUUUGUUUUUUUUUAUUGGCGUUUAUAUAAUUAUUUGUUUGUGUUAAAAAUUUUUUUUUGUUAUUCAAAUAUAUCCUAUUGUUCACGGAUAAAAAAAAAAUAUAUAGAGAACAGGAAACCAAAAGUUAAAGUUUAUAAAACCAGCCACUUAAUUGUUAAAUGUAAUAUGUAGUAAUGUAGUUUUGUUUAUUGUUAAAUAUAAAUAUGAUUUGGUAAAAUAAAUAUAUAGGAUUUUAGUCAUCUCAGUUCGAUGUGUGCAGAAAUGUGAAAAGGGUAAGUUGUUGAUAAUAUAAAAACAGAUAAGGGGUCAUUCGAAUAGUUAAUAAGAUGAUAUAGGUUGGGCUAGGGCAUAGAUGUUUCUGGAUAUGACAUCUGUUCCAGUUGUAUUAUUGUUUUCUGUUGGUGUACUGUAGGGUGUUUUAGUGUCAGUACAAUUUCAUAUAUUGAUUUUUUUUAUUGUGCGAAAUUGAGAUGUGGUGAGGGUUUUGUGAACCACGCCAAAUAUGAGAGACAGAGCUAGUCGGCAACACCAUAUACGUGCCCAUGAGGAAGUUUCGUAACAGUAAAUGGCGCCCAAUUUUUUUUAGAUCAAAAGAACCAAAAACAAUAGUCAGUUUCAUUUAAUAAAUGAUAGAAUAUUGAGUAAUUUAUCUCAGAUAGUGCUGAUCCCAUUGAUUGUAAAUUACAAUAUGAUAUUUACAUGUUAAAUGAAAAGUCAAAAUCAACAUUUAAAAGAGAAAUCAUUAAGAUAAAUAAUUAAACAGAGUUAUUAAAAAUUAAUAUGUUAUUAGUGCCCAAACAAAAUUUUUUUUGAUUGAUUGCAUUAAUAAUAAAGUUAAUAGAAAUUCUAAAUAUUAUGUCCUGAUUUAAACAAAUCAGUUUGCAUAAUCAAGAAGAAUAUUACACAAUAAUUUGAAUCCUAUUAGAAGAACAUAAUAGAGGUUUCAAAAUAAUAUUACUAGAAUAGUAUACCAAGUUAGGAGACAUAAAAAAGGAAUUACAUCUAAAAUAUUAUCAACAACUUAUAAUGUUAAGCAAAAUAAAAAUAUAAUAACAUUUCUGCAAUAAUAAAAGAGAACGAGAUAUAAACUAAAAUCCUAAUAAGUAAAGUA
rnacentral:lncRNA from 1 species